rnacentral:rRNA from 1 species
AGAGUUUGAUCAUGGCUCAGAUUGAACGCUGGCGGCAGGCCUAACACAUGCAAGUCGAGCGGUAGCACAGAGAGCUUGCUCUCGGGUGACGAGCGGCGGACGGGUGAGUAAUGUCUGGGAAACUGCCUGAUGGAGGGGGAUAACUACUGGAAACGGUAGCUAAUACCGCAUAACGUCGCAAGACCAAAGUGGGGGACCUUCGGGCCUCAUGCCAUCAGAUGUGCCCAGAUGGGAUUAGCUAGUAGGUGGGGUAACGGCUCACCUAGGCGACGAUCCCUAGCUGGUCUGAGAGGAUGACCAGCCACACUGGAACUGAGACACGGUCCAGACUCCUACGGGAGGCAGCAGUGGGGAAUAUUGCACAAUGGGCGCAAGCCUGAUGCAGCCAUGCCGCGUGUGUGAAGAAGGCCUUCGGGUUGUAAAGCACUUUCAGCGGGGAGGAAGGCGUUAAGGUUAAUAACCUUGGCGAUUGACGUUACCCGCAGAAGAAGCACCGGCUAACUCCGUGCCAGCAGCCGCGGUAAUACGGAGGGUGCAAGCGUUAAUCGGAAUUACUGGGCGUAAAGCGCACGCAGGCGGUCUGUCAAGUCGGAUGUGAAAUCCCCGGGCUCAACCUGGGAACUGCAUUCGAAACUGGCAGGCUAGAGUCUUGUAGAGGGGGGUAGAAUUCCAGGUGUAGCGGUGAAAUGCGUAGAGAUCUGGAGGAAUACCGGUGGCGAAGGCGGCCCCCUGGACAAAGACUGACGCUCAGGUGCGAAAGCGUGGGGAGCAAACAGGAUUAGAUACCCUGGUAGUCCACGCCGUAAACGAUGUCGAUUUGGAGGUUGUGCCCUUGAGGCGUGGCUUCCGGAGCUAACGCGUUAAAUCGACCGCCUGGGGAGUACGGCCGCAAGGUUAAAACUCAAAUGAAUUGACGGGGGCCCGCACAAGCGGUGGAGCAUGUGGUUUAAUUCGAUGCAACGCGAAGAACCUUA